rnacentral:lncRNA from 1 species
GGCCCUGUCCCAGGGAUGACACCUAUCCUCACUCCCUUCCGGUUGUGAUCCUGAGAGGAAGAAUGCAGAUGUGACUGCUACCUGCAAGAAGCUUCACAAUUGACUAAGAAGCUGAACUAUGAGUCAAGAAGUAAUUGAUACCUGAAGGGAGGGCUGUGCCGAGGGCAGAGAUCCAGUGUUGUGCAGCCUCAGUCCUUAAAGAAGAGGAGGAGGGGCAUUUUCCUGGACCUCAGAGGAGGAGAUGGUUGUGGGUUUGGGAUCAUUAAGUGGUAAGAGAAGAUUCACAUGGAAGCACCAAUGUUAGUGGCUCCCGUGUUAGCAGAUAGCAGAGGCAGGCCUAGUGGGGAAGCUGGCAGUCAUGGUUCUAACUAGCUCCUUUUAUCUCCAAAGUUCAUUCACUCACUUUUCAUUUUCACGAUUUUUGCACUAUCUUUAGGCCACCCAUUCCAUUAUUGGAACUUUUUACAUAUCAGUGUCAUAUACAGAAAACUACCCUCAUCCACGAUUGUGCUUUCCACAGUUUCAGUUAAACAUGGUCAGCUGUGAUCUGAAAAUAUUAAACUGAAAAUUCCAGAGGUAUUCGUAGGAUUGAGAUUGUGUGCUGUUCUGAGUAGUGUGAUGAAAUCUCAUGCCACCUUCUGUUCUGCCCUGGACACAAAUCAUCCCUUUGUCCAUUGUAUCCAUACUUUAUAGCCCACCCACCCAUUACAAAUAAAUUUUUCAGUUAUCAGAUCAGAUCAACUGUCAGCCAUUGCUGGUGCUAGUAUAGAGGGUUGGGCACUAUCCAUAGUUUCAGGGCUUGACUGGGGGUUCUUAGAACAUAUCCCCAGAGGAUAAGGAGGAGUCUAGUCUAAAAAGAACUGUUUUGGUCUUUGCCCUUGGUCCUGUCACAGAGCUUCUAAAACCUGAGAAACUUCCUGAUAUAGAUGUCUUUUGUUACAAUGAGUCCUUUAGAUAAUUCCUAAACUGAUACUAGUGAGGUGACUUGAGUGGAGUGGAGGGCCAGCUAGCCUAAGGAUGGGGGUCAGACACCAGAAAAGCUAAGCAAUUAGAGGGUUGGAAUUUUAACCCUGUUCAUCUGUCUCCAAGCCAGGCUGUGUAGAGCUGGAGAUUAAGCUCUCAACUCGGGAGUUUGAUAGGCUUCUGGGUUGGUGAACACAGUUGCAUGCCAGGAGGGUGAGGUCCUGUGCUCUUGGCCCUUCUGGACUCUGUCCAAUGUAUCUUUCCCUCUGGGUGUAUGGUUUCCUCUGUGAUAAACUUAUGUUUCUCUGAUUUCUGUGAGGCGUCCUAACAAGUCACCAAAACCAAGGGGGUUUGGUGGGAAUCCCCGUUUAGAGCUGGCCUCUGGAGUGAGGGCAGUUUCCAGAGAUUGAGCCUGAAGCCUUGGGGAUCUGACCUCAUCUCCAGGUAGGCUGUCAGCACCGAAAGGUCUUCUGCAGGAUUUCCUCCCCCUCACUCCCACACCUGGUGUCAGUGGAGAGAAUCCAUAGGAGGAAACAUUGAUUUGUCAUAGCUUCAUGAAUUUGCUGUAAAUGAAAUUUUAUGUAACUACUGUGCUGUCAAUAGAAUACCAGUUUCCCCUCUGAUAUAUGCGAAGUACAUAACUCUUAAAAUAAAAGUAUAAACCCUAUGA